rnacentral:lncRNA from 1 species
CGCGUGGUUAUAUGAAACAGAAAUGAGUUAAUGUGUUUAUGAAUUUGUUUUUGUGUAUACUCCAGUGAAUAAUGAAGAAUUCCAAAAACAAACUCCUAAAUGUCGCUUGGUCUGCACCAGGUGCACAUUUAGAUUAAAGGAGUUGGCUUCUCAGUUUCAAAAUAAUUAACUUUUCAAAAAACGAGGAUAUAUUGAUAGGGGAUAAAUAAAGGAAUCAAAAGAACAAAAAAAAUAUAUAGGUCACCGUGCUUGUUUUCGAGGUAAUAGCCAUUGAAAUUUUGGCAGGAAAUGUUCUCUCUUGACUUUUCAUAGCUUUAUCAUUGACAAGUUUAAGUCCUCAAAAACUAUUAAAAAUAACAGACAGCUUAUCAUUAUACAUGUUAAAGAAUCAUAAAAAGAAAAAUGGGGGUCACUGGGCAAAAUUUCGGUUAAGGCAUUAAAUGUAUACAUGUAAAUCCAGAGGAUUCCGAAAAUCUGAUAAAAAUUUCAAAACAUGACAAGCGAGCUUUCUUAAUAAUAAUACAGAAGAGCAGAUAAACAAAAAUGAACAAAAAUGUAUCGCCAAAAACCGUCAAGGAAUCAAAACUUUUGAUGAGGGAGAUAUAUU